rnacentral:rRNA from 1 species
GAUGAACGCUGGCGGCGUGCCUAAUACAUGCAAGUCGAACGCAUUGAGAGAAGUGCUUGCACUUUUCAAUUUGAGUGCGAACAGGUGAGUAACACGUGGGCAACCUACCUGAUAGCGGGGGAUAACGAGUGGAAACAUUCGCUAAUACCGCAUAACAAUAGAGAAGGCAUCUUCUUUAUUUAAAAGGCGCUUUCAAGCGUCACUAUCAGAUGGGCCCGCGGUGCAUUAGUUAGUUGGUGGGGUGAAGGCCUACCAAGACGAUGAUGCAUAGCCGCGUUGGGGGCCUGAUCGGACACAUUGGGACUGAGCCACGGCCCAAACUCCUACGGGAGGCUGCAGUAGGGAAUCUUCCACAAUGGACGAAAGUCUGAUGGAGCAACGCCGCGUGUGGGAUGAAGGCUUUCGGGUCGUAAAGCAAUGUUGUAUGGGAAGAAAUGCUAGGCUAGGAAAUGAGCUUAGUUUGACGGUACCAUACCAGAAAGGGACGGCUAAAUACGUGCCAGCCGCCGCCGUAA